rnacentral:misc_RNA from 1 species
GAUGAAGAACUUAGCGAAAUGCGAUAAGUAGUGUGAAUUGCAGAAUUCAGUGAAUCAUCGAAUCUUUGAACGCACAUUGCGCCCCUUGGUAUUCCAUGGGGCAUGCCUGUUCGAGCGUCAUUUGUACCCUCAAGCUUUGCUUGGUGUUGGGCGUCUUGUCUUGUAUUAGACUCGCCUUAAAGUCAUUGGCAGCCAGUGUUUUUGGUAGUAAGCGCAGCACAUUUUGCGUCUUAGUCCUUGAAUCGUGGCAUCCAUGAAGCCUUUUUUCACUUUUGACCUCGGAUCAGGUAGGGAUACCCGCUGAACUUAAGCAUAUCAAUAAGCGGAGGA